rnacentral:misc_RNA from 1 species
UCUCCGUUGGUGAACCAGCGGAGGGAUCAUUACCGAGUUUACAACUCCCAAACCCCUAUGUGAACGUUACCAAACUGUUGCCUCGGCGGGAAAUUCAUGCCCCGGGCGCGUCGCAGCCCCGGACCAAGGCGCCCGCCGGAGGACCAACCAAAACUCUUUUGUAUGUCCCUCGCGGACUUUUAUAAUUCUGAACCAUCUCGGCGCCCCUAGCGGGCGUUUCGAAAUGAAUCAAAACUUUCAACAACGGAUCUCUUGGUUCUG